CACGCAAAUUCCACACCAAAUGU
rnacentral:siRNA from 1 species